GUUCGUUUGGUGUAGUGGUUAUCACGUGUCGUUCGUAUGUCUCUCCUUCCCCUACCAACGACGUGUUUCCUGACUGUUCACAGACACUAUGUGAGCAUUGAUCUCUCAAAGAUCCGACAAGGUCCCCGGUUCGAUCCCGGGAAUGAACA